UUUUUCCCCAUCCAAGGUGGCCAAGAGCGUUACAUGGUUAAGCACUGCAGAGCGGUUUGCUUUCUUUAGGAAAGCUGCUCAUUGUAGUAUUCCCCUUUAGAGAGUGGAUUGUGCCAUACUGCUGCUGUCUUGUUUCGUUUUGUUCUGUCUUGUUCGGUUUUAUUGUGUCUUGUUGUGACCUGUUGUCAUCUUACAAACGUUUAUGGACUGGCCUCGACUGACUCCUGGUUUUAUGGUCUUUUACUCGGAAUUGUUUUAUAUAUUUUAAUCAUGCUUUUGUAAAGACCUGUAACUUGGGGUGUAUUUGUUUUAUUUAUCUCUUUUACUAAUUUGUUUUAUGCUUUGUUGCUUUAGUGGAGGUGCGGCCGCUUGUUGAGGGGCUAGGCACUUGAGGUGGAAUCCCCUCCCCGAUGCAUGAGAGUGUACACACCGGGCAUAGGUAGAUUGCACCUUUUAGAUUUCAGUGUGAGUGACAGUGAGGUUUGCAGUGGAACUACACAGGUGAGUAAUUGGUGGCACCCUUGGGCACUCCUCUCUGUAGGUGGCCUGCUCAAGUGGCCGGUCUCCACCAUUUUUAGUUAUUUUAUCGAGUUGUUAUUUUACUAGGGUGGCAGCGAGCCUUGUCGCUUUAAUCAUUGUUUGUUAAUAAAGUGUUUUAACUGUCUUGCAGUCUCAGCCCUGCUACCUUAAGAACUUUUCUGAUUUUUACAGUUCUAUGCUUUUUAGUAGUUUUUCUGCUGCUAAUAACGAGCCUGUGGUCUUUGGUAGCUAGUGUAACAUCUACAUUGGCUUUAGAGAUCUUUCCUGGGGUGUCAACCCCCCCGCAGGUGGCGUUGUCAACAUUCCUUAGUCACGUUUACUGGUUAACCUCCUUCACGCCGCCACAUUCGUGCUGAAAAGAGGUAAAGAUCCAGAACGUACUUGAGGGCGCCAAACAGCCUAGGACCGCCACUGUGAAUACUGCUCUGGUUACAACAGUCAGAGUGAUAUUUUAGAAUUGUCAUUUGUACUUAGCAUAAAUGAUUGUUUCUAAGAGGUAUAUAAUCAUUUGUAGAUUGCUAGAAUGUCUGCUCCUCGGUAAUCUGCAAAGACUCUCUGUACCAUAAAAAGGGGGGUGCGUUCACUCCUUU
ensembl:lncRNA